AUUGAACGCUGGCGGCAGGCCUAACACAUGCAAGUCGAGCGGAUGAGUGGAGCUUGCUCCAUGAUUCAGCGGCGGACGGGUGAGUAAUGCCUAGGAAUCUGCCUGGUAGUGGGGGACAACGUUUCGAAAGGAACGCUAAUACCGCAUACGUCCUACGGGAGAAAGCAGGGGACCUUCGGGCCUUGCGCUAUCAGAUGAGCCUAGGUCGGAUUAGCUAGUAGGUGAGGUAAUGGCUCACCUAGGCGACGAUCCGUAACUGGUCUGAGAGGAUGAUCAGUCACACUGGAACUGAGACACGGUCCAGACUCCUACGGGAGGCAGCAGUGGGGAAUAUUGGACAAUGGGCGAAAGCCUGAUCCAGCCAUGCCGCGUGUGUGAAGAAGGUCUUCGGAUUGUAAAGCACUUUAAGUUGGGAGGAAGGGCAGUGAGUUAAUACCUUGCUGUUUUGGCGUUACCAACAGAAUAAGCACCGGCUAACUUCGUGCCAGCAGCCGCCGUAACAC
rnacentral:rRNA from 1 species